rnacentral:rRNA from 1 species
CCUACGGGUCGCACCAGUGGGGAAUAUUGCACAAUGGGCGCAAGCCUGAUGCAGCCAUGCCGCGUGUGUGAAGGAGGCCUUCGGGUUGUAAAGCACUUUCAGCGGGGAGGAAGGCGCCAAGGUUAAUAACCUUGGCGAUUGACGUUACCCGCAGAAGAAGCACCGGCUAACUCCGUGCCAGCAGCCGCGGUAAUACGGAGGGUGCAAGCGUUAAUCGGAAUUACUGGGCGUAAAGCGCACGCAGGCGGUCUGUCAAGUCGGAUGUGAAAUCCCCGGGCUCAACCUGGGAACUGCAUUCGAAACUGGCAGGCUAGAGUCUUGUAGAGGGGGGUAGAAUUCCAGGUGUAGCGGCGAAUUGCGUAGAGAUCUGGAGGAAUACCGGUGGCGAAGGCGGCCCCCUGGACAAAGACUGACGCUCAGGUGCGAAAGCGUGGGGAGCAAACAGGAUUAGAUACCCCAGUAGUCA